rnacentral:lncRNA from 1 species
UGAGAAGAUGUCCAAGUUCUCCUGGCAAAGGACAGUUUCAACCCAUUCCCAUGGAAAGUGGUUUAAGUAAACAAGGUUGAGAUGGAUAUCUUGGUGUUCAAAUCUGUAGAGUUUCUUAUCCGUGAUGACUUUCCCAGCCUAAUAGGCUUUGGAUGCAGAUACCUCAUGUGACUCUUUUGCUGGUUUCACAGAUGCUUUUCUUUUCACACCUGCUUUUUUUUCCUCCUCGUGAGAUUAGAAUUAUCUGCAGGAAACUCUAGAUCAGGUGAAGCUGAAAUCUGAAAAAGUGUGCAAAAAAUUACGGGCUUGUAAACAUGAUAGUGGUGACAUCAAGAUGCAAUUAGAUAUGUGUAUUUUGAAGAACCUGUGUACAGACGGUCACUUCAGACAAAUAGUCUGUUCAGAGAGGUAUAUAGAUUUAAGUACAGGAAGUAUGGAGCAAAUCUUGGAUAGUGUAGGUAUGUAAUUCAUUUAUCAACUUUAUGGAAGCAUGUUAAUUAGUGAAAAAGUAAGCAGGAGGUGGUGGUAAUGCUAUACCUAACUAACUUUCCAUAAAAAAAAUAUGCUGUAAAUCCUAUUUAGAAGGGGAUCCAAAAGAAGAUUUGGGUUGAAUCGUGCAGACACUUCAGUUCACCGUCUGUUAUUUAUCUCCUGUAGUUUCAAAUAAUGAGUAAUAGGGAUGCUAGAGACCAGCUGUCUUGGAGGUGCUCAGGAGACUGCUUUAUUCUAACUGCGAAUUGUUUCAUUUCCUGAAUGAUACAAACUGAUGAUUUCUUGUCACUUUUUUAGGCAUGUCUAAAUAAGUGCAGGAAAUCAUUCUGCAAACCAUAAUGUUAUGAUACAUUUUCUAUCAACAGCUGAAAACAUUUCUGGGUGAAGUGCAACUACUUUGUGACAGAGCUUGGAAACAAAUGGAAGUAGGGCAAAAAUAAAAACCACAAAAGCCUGGGAGGACAGAAAACCUCAAGCUGUGAAGUUGAAGCUGCAGGUUGUGAGAGAGAGGCAUCACCCAAGAAUUCAUAUUAAUGCCAGAAAAACCCAAACCCACCUUUUACUUGCUCACAGUCCUUCACAUCAAAGGAACCCAUCAUUUCUUCCAUGCAAAUGCUGUGGAGAUUGCUUCACCCAGGACUGGAAAGCAGCCAGGCUGCAUAGCAUGAUAGCUACUCCGCAGUUCACGGCAAUGUUUUAUACCACUAAGAACCAGGAGUGGAUUGCUGGCUUUAAAUCCGAUACACAUUUGCAGCAAACACUGAGAAAGCAUUUAAUUUCUGGUUUUCGACCAUAUCUUCUUUAA